rnacentral:tRNA from 1 species
AAGCAUGUAGCUCACUUGGUUAGAGCGGUCGACUCAUAAUCGAUUCGUAGCGGGUUCGAUUCCCGUCAUGUUUACCG